rnacentral:rRNA from 1 species
GAUGAACGCUGGCGGCGUGCCUAAUACAUGCAAGUCGAGCGAACGGACGAGAAGCUUGCUUCUCUGAUGUUAGCGGCGGACGGGUGAGUAACACGUGGAUAACCUACCUAUAAGACUGGGAUAACUUCGGGAAACCGGAACUAAUACCGGAUGAUAUUUUGAACCGCAUGGUUCAAAAGUGAAAGACGGUCUUGCUGUCACUUAUAGAUGGAUCCGCGCUGCAUUAGCUAGUUGGUAAGGUAACGGCUUACCAAGGCAACGAUGCAUAGCCGACCUGAGAGGGUGAUCGGCCACACUGGAACUGAGACACGGUCCAGACUCCUACGGGAGGCAGCAGGAGGGAAUCUUCCGCAAUGGGCGAAAGCCUGACGGAGCAACGCCGCGUGAGUGAUGAAGGUCUGCGGAUCGUAAAACUCUGUUAUUAGGGAAGAACAUAUGUGUAAGUAACUGUGCACAUCUUGACGGUACCUAAGCAGAAAGCCACGGCUAACUACGU